rfam:Triticum urartu cultivar G1812 contig1233545, whole genome shotgun sequence.
AUAGUACUCCCUCCGUUCUGAAUUACUUGUCACAGGUAUGAAUGUAUCUAGAUGUAUUUUAGUUGUAGAUACAUCCAUUUCUGCGACGAGUAAUUUGAAACGGAGGGAGUAUAUG